CCUCCGACGGUCAAGUCAGAGAGGUGACUGGGCAACAGUGAAAUGUAGACAGAGAGCUCUGAGAGAGAGAGAGAGGGAGGGAGGAGCGAGCCUGUGCUUGUGGAGAGACGGGGCGGAUCGAUCCCUUGCACUGUUGCCUUCCCCGGUUUAUAUAGUGGAGCACGGUAUGGCACCGUCAUUAAUGGCGCGGACAAGUGAGGAACUGUCAACUCACUGUAAACUGUCAGAGUCGCCGUGAAAACGUCAUGUCGCCGUGUGGCUGUCCAAUCACCAGGGUUGACUAUGCCCUGUGCGAGACAAUGCCCCUAGGUAGCCGUGCCGCAUGUCCGCGUCAGAGCUGACAAGGUCUGGCGGCUGUACGGCGAUCGGAGGAGCCGGCCGACCCUAGGUUGGUGGCCAGCAGAGUGGCGUCGGGUUCCUCCGUCGGUCGGCGAACAUCAUGUGAGUCGGCCAUCAGUCCACUGGGUUCAGUC
rnacentral:lncRNA from 1 species